GACGAACGCUGGCGGCGUGCUUAACACAUGCAAGUCGUACGGUAAGGCCCUUUCGGGGGUACACGAGUGGCGAACGGGUGAGUAACACGUGAGUAACCUGCCCACAACUUUGGGAUAACGCUAGGAAACUGGUGCUAAUACUGGAUAUGUACUCCUGCUGCAUGGUGGGGGUUGGAAAGCUCCGGCGGUUGUGGAUGGACUCGCGGCCUAUCAGCUUGUUGGUGGGGUAGUGGCCUACCAAGGCGGCGACGGGUAGCCGGCCUGAGAGGGUGACCGGCCACAUUGGGACUGAGAUACGGCCCAGACUCCUACGGGAGGCAGCAGUGGGGAAUAUUGCACAAUGGGCGCAAGCCUGAUGCAGCAACGCCGCGUGCGGGAUGACGGCCUUCGGGUUGUAAACCGCUUUCAGCAGGGACGAAGCUUUUUGUGACGGUACCUGCAGAAGAAGCACCGGCUAACUACGUG
rnacentral:rRNA from 1 species